AUUACUUUAUAGAGUGUAAAACGAAAUGGAAACUCAAAAACAGCUUCAGUGUACACUUUCCAGACAUCGCCCUUCUGGAUGGAUGGACUCAAGGACCAUCCUGACGGCAGCACAGAUUUAAUUUCUUUCAGGGCGGCUUGAACUUGCAGCGGGGGAAAAAGGGUAGCUGGUAGACGUUCCAUAGCCAUAACAGCCAAUCCAACGGCAAAGUUAUCCAACACCUCUUCGAUCCAUCCCACGGCGGACCCAAUUUGACGGAACGCAUCUCCAACUUUCGUGGCCUCUCGUUCAAUUUUUGCAAAAGCAAUCUGUAGCUCGGCUACGGCGUCGCCACUUGCCUUAGUCUCCCACAGCGUCUCGUUAAUAAGAGAAGCAUGAACUUCCAGGGCAUGCACAAUGGAUGU
rnacentral:lncRNA from 1 species